rnacentral:RNase_P_RNA from 1 species
ACAGCCGGACAGUCCGUCGCGGGCGUGAUUCCACCAAGGAAUGCACGCAUGAGGAAAGUCCGGGCAACACAGAGCGCCAUACUUCCUAACGGGAAGCCGCGGGCAACCGCAGAGACAACGUGACAGAAAACAACCGCCCCAUUUACGGACGGGGGAGCCAUACCUUUCCAGGAAUGGCGCCACUACCCCCCGGGGCAAGGGUGAAAAGGCGGGGUAAGAGCCCACCGGGCGCCACCGUGAGAUGGCGUGCCGCACGUCUUAUGGGUUGCAAGGUCAUGUAUACCGGCAGCGCGGCAGUGUCUUCGGGCAAAAAGUCGCGGGUGGGUGGCUCGCCCACUGCCGGGGGGUAGACUGCUUUAGCCGCAGUGGCGACACUCGGCAUAGAUAAAUGACGGACCGGCCUGACCGAAGUACCGGCCCCGCAACAGGGGCAGGAAACCGUCGGCGACCGACAUAACCCGGCUUACAGCCCGGCUGUUGUU